rnacentral:rRNA from 1 species
UUCUAUUAGAAAUUAUUAAUAGUAUGAUCUGCUCAAUGAAAAUAAAUAGCCGCAAUUCAACUGUGCUAAGGUAGCAUAAUCAUUCGUUUUUUAAUUAAAAACCAGUAUGAAUGAUUAAACAUUUAUACUAAAGUUUAAAAUUUAUUAAUUUAAAAUUAUCUUAAAUGUAAAAAGACAUUUAUAAAAAAGAAAGACGACAAGACCCUAUUGAACUUAACUAUAGUUAAACUGGGGCAGUUCAUUAAUUAUUAUUUUAAUUUAAAUAAUAUAAAAAAUAUCUAAUAUAAUUAAUUUUAUCAAGUUACCAUAGGGAUAACAGCGCAAUUUUUAUUUAAAGUUCUUAUAUAAAUAAAAGUUUACGACCUCGAUGUUGAAUAAUAACCUAUUUUUUUUUAUCGUGCAAAAACAAUAAAAGGAGGUCUGUUCGACCUUUAAAAAAUUACA